GACGAACGCUGGCGGCGUGCUUAACACAUGCAAGUCGAACGGUAAGGCCCUUCGGGGUACACGAGUGGCGAACGGGUGAGUAACACGUGGGUGAUCUGCCCUGCACUUCGGGAUAAGCCUGGGAAACUGGGUCUAAUACCGGAUAGGACUCCUGGCUUCAUGGUUGGGGGUGGAAAGCUUUUGCGGUGUGGGAUGGGCCCGCGGCCUAUCAGCUUGUUGGUGGGGUAAUGGCCUACCAAGGCGACGACGGGUAGCCGGCCUGGGAGGGGGACCGGUCACACUGGGACUGAGAUACGGCCCAGACUCCUACGGGAGGCAGCAGUGGGGAAUAUUGCACAAUGGGCGCAAGCCUGAUGCAGCGACGCCGCGUGAGGGAUGACGGCCUUCGGGUUGUAAACCUCUUUCAGCUAUGACGAAGCGCAAGUGACGGUAGUAGCAGAAGAAGGACCGGCCAACUACGUGCCAGCCGCCGCUGUAA
rnacentral:rRNA from 1 species